GCCCGCCGACGUUAAGGCGGAGGGCUCAUAACCCGGAGGUCGUUGGUUCAAAUCCAAAGAAGGCA
rnacentral:tRNA from 1 species